rnacentral:rRNA from 1 species
UACGGGGGGCGAAGGCGUUGUUCGGAAUUACUGGGCGUAAAGGGCUCGUAGGUGGCCAACUAAGUCUAGACGUGAAAUCCCUCAGCUUAACUGGGGAACUGCGUCUGAUACUGGAUGGCUUGAGUUUGGGAGAGGGAUGCGGAAUUCCAGGUGUAGCGGUAGAAAUGCGUAGAUAUCUGGAGGAACACCGGUGGCGAAGGCGGCAUCCUGGACCAAUACUGACACUGAGGAGCGAAAGCCAGG